AUGGGAAUUAAAGAUGAUACACUACAGGCUACCUAUCUCGGCAAGCCGACCUGGGUGGGACGAUCUCCAACGAACAACUUCAACUUUUUCACUGGUCGACUUUGGAAAAGACUCAAUGGUUGGAGUGAUAGACCUCUGUCAAGGGCUGGGAAAGAAGUUCUACUAAAGUCAGUCGCACAAGCAAUACCAACUUACGUAAUGAGUUGUUUUCAGAUCCCUAUUGGUGUCUGUGAAAAGAUGAGAAAGCCUAUUUCCAACUAUUGGUGGGGUGUAGAAGAUGGAAAAAGGAAAUUACAUUGGAAAUCUUGGAAGUGGUUGUCCUCGCCGAAUAUUUAG
rnacentral:rRNA from 1 species